AUGCCCGAGAGGCGUUUCAAAGAUGGCCGCCGAGUGAAAUGACUUGUCUUAAAGGGACUUUGAUAUAGUCUAUGAGGUCGCGCGCACAGAAACUUGUUGUCAAUGCGCAGCCCCUCAAAUUUUGUUAAUUAACUUCGCUACUGAAUCGCUACAUUAUAUUACUCACCAAGGAGGUGGUAACGUCGCUUUUUCUUGAAGUAAUUCAACUCACUGCUUCAUUUCUAGUAGAGAGACGCUGAACAAACGCAGGACAGCUGGGUCAUUUUCACAGGCAUGGACACACACCCUCAGCACACUGCUAUCAGGUAGUUGGCAAUGGCCCCGGUUUGAGAAAAAGACUCAACAACAGAGGCACGUCAGCACCUGACCCUGGCGCAGUACUGCUUCUCUACAGACAAGCAUCAUGGGAAAUUAGAGAGAGGACGACUAAAAGGAAGCAUUUUUAUUGUAGAAAUAUCAUGCAGGAUAUAUGAACAGACAGAAGGCACAAGAGCAUGACAUAACUCAUGAAAAGUAGUACACUUUAGCAUGCUUUUAAAAAGAGUACUUUAAUAAUAUACUUUAAAAGAAUACUUAAGUGCAAACUUAAUGUAAUGUUGUCAAACAAUGAAUUGCAUGUUACUUUCAAUCAAAUGAAAAUGUAUUAGUUUGAAUUUAUAAUAAUUGCAAUUAGCUGAACUUUGGAGUGAAACUUGUAUGCUAUGUAUUUAAAUAUAUUUGUAAUUACACAUUUGUAAUGAUGAAGAUGCAAUUUAGUACAUUUAAA